rnacentral:rRNA from 1 species
GGCUUUUGUGGAAUGUAAAAAGUUCUACGAAUAAGGACUGGGUAAGACUAGUGCCAGCCGCCGUGGUAAUACUAGCGGUCCAAGUCGCAGCCACUCUUAUUGGGUCUAAAACAUCCGUAGCUUGCUUGAUAAGUUUUCUGUGAAAUCUCAUAUCUCAAGUAUAAGAAUUGUGGAAAAUACUGUCAAGCUAGAGACCGGGAGACGUAAAGAGUACGUCUAAAGUAGCGGUAAAAUGUGUUAAUCUUAGGCGGACUGACGAUAGCGAAGGCACUUUACGAGAACGGUUCUGACAGUAAGGGAUGAAGGCUAGGGGCGCAAAACGGAUUAGAUACCCGUGUAGUCCUAGCAGUAAACACUGCACACUAAACCUUGUGAUCUCUUCGAGAGAUUGCAGGGCUGCAGGGAAGCCGAAGAGUGUGCUACCUGGGAAGUAUAGUCGCAAGGCUGAAACUUAAAGGAAUUGGCGGGGAGACACUACAACGGGUGACGCGUGCGGUUCAAUUAGAUUAUACACCGUGAACCUCACCAGGAGCGACAGCAGAAUGAAGGUCAGUCUAAAGGGCUUACCUGACACGCUGAGAGGGGUUGCAUGGCCGGCGUCAGCCUGUGCUGUGAGGCGAUCUGUUAAAUCAGAUAACAGGCAAGACCCACAUCUUUAUUUAC